ensembl:lncRNA
AUGGUGGGAAGAGGAAAGGGACAGAGUGGUAGGGAAGGGGAAAGGGAGAGAUGGAGGGAAGAGGAAAGGGACAGAGUGGUAGGGAAGGGGAAAGGGAGAGAUGGAGGGAAGAGGAAAGGGACAGAGUGGUAGGGAAGGGGAAAGGGAGAGAUGGUGGGAAGAGGAAAGGGACAGAGUGGUAGGGGAGGGGAAAGGGACAGAGUGGUAGGGAAGGGGAAAGGGACAGAGUGGUAGGGAAGGGGAAAGGGAAGAUGGUGGGAAGAGGAAAGGGACAGAGUGGUAGGGAAGGGGAAAGGGAGAGAUGGUGGGAAGAGGAAAGGGACAGAGUGGUAGGGAAAAUGGACGAAGGAGAAGGAAAGGCAUUCCUAAAGCCUGAGAACUACAGGUAGACCUGUACCUGUGGUUAGAUACACUGUUCUACAUUAUAAACACUCAAUCACACACACAAUGUUGGAUAUACUACAUUAAUUGGCAUGGACCUGUUAUUAUAGUCCAUUAAUAACACACACACACACACGGGUAAUUCUCACGAAACUGUAAUAAAAAAAUACAUUUAGUCAUUUUUCACAAAAUGUCCUCUUGAAUAACUGAGAUUAGGAUCUAUAUGUAUCUAUUUCAUACUUAUUAUUAUUUUUUAUUAGAUAUUAUGCAUUCUACCAACGUUUUCACAAAAUUCUCAUUCGUUUUUGAAGUCCAAAAAAGUUAAAUCAAUAUUUCUAAUAUUUUUUAACAUUGCUCCCCUAAUGAAAAUGCCUGAGUUAAACAUAACACUGAAAAUACAAUUAUUAUAAAAUGAAAAUCAGACUUUUCCCCAAUUUGAGCUCUUUAGCUGUUUUCUAAGGACUACUCUAGAUGAUGCAUCAUGGGUGAAGAAAUGUUUAUUUCAAAGCUGGAGUUUUAUAGGAACUUGGUAAUGAGACAUAUCCACAGACACUGCUUGUAUGUAAUAAAUAUUAUAGUUUAAUGUAAACUUCAACUAGUAUACCAUUUUUAUAAUUUAUGGAGAAACUACAGCAACAUAUUUUGUUUUAUUUAAACAAGUUAGGUUUUUUUAAAGAUGUAUUUUUAUAAAAUUACCAUGAAUUUAAUCAGUACGCAUUUCAGUAAUGAAAAUGUAUUUUUCAUUAUUUUUUUACAUGACACUUUCCCCUAAAACUAGACAUCUUAGUCCUCAGAAUGAUAUCAUGCACCACCCCACACACACACAAGUUAAGGAAUUGCAUUGGGAACGUCUGUGUGAUUUCAGUCCCUCUAAAAGAGUGUUCAAAAGGAUGUGAAUGGAAGAGAGGACAGAAUGAUGAGAAUGAAGGGAAGAAUAGAAGGAAGGGGAGAAGGAAGAAGAGAAGGAAGGGGAGAUGGGAGAAGGAAGAAGAGAAGAAAGGGGAGAAGGAAGAAGAGAAGGAAGAAGAGAAGAAAGGGGAGAAGGAAGGGGAGAUGGAAGAAUAGAAGGAAGGGAAGAAGAGAAGAAAGGGGAGAAGGAAGAAUAGAAGGAAGAAGAGAAGGAAGGGGAGAAGGAAGAAGAGAAGGAAGGGGAGAAAGUGUGAUGCUGCUUCUAGUAUGGCUCUUCUUACUGUACUCAUGUGCCUUACAGCCAGACUAUGGUGCUUUUACCUUAUUCUGUUAUUUUUCACUUACCUUGUUGUUGCUCAACCUGCUAUAAGCAUGUUUUGUCCAUGUGCCUUUAUGUCCAAUACUCCAGUUGCCAUGAAAGACAGACUUUAGAAAAGAGACACAACAAGAUUUAACCUACUGCACUGUAUGGACCUUGAUUUGAGGGCCUGUUAAUAAACUGCUUUAUUGAAUGGUUAAUAAACAAUUUAAUAAUGUAAACUGGUUCAUAAACAAUGUAAUCAUGUUUAUAAGCAUCUUAUAAGCAGUCCUUCAAACAAAGUGUUAAAUCGUUUUGGGGGUAUAUUGAGAUUCUGCGGAUUCUGAAUGAUGCUCUCCUUCCUCUGCUGAUGACAUGUUUAUGUGCCAGUGGUAACGCUCUGUCUGUAGACACUCUCCGUUGACAUUGGAGAGGAAAAGACUUGUUAUCAAACAGUUUUAUCAUGUUUUCGCUCUGUAUGUGCGUGACUAUUUUCAGUAUAUCUUCUGAGUGUCAUUGACAUGUUACCAAGGUCACACAGGCAGAACUUUAUUUUCAGUAUAUCUUCUGAGUGUCAUUGACAUGUUACCAAGGUCACACAGGCAGAACUUUAUUUUCAGUAUAUCUUCUGAGUGUCAUUGACAUCUUACCAAGGUCACACAGGCAGAACUUUAUUUUCAGUAUAUCUUCUGAGUGUCAUUGACAUGUUACCAAGGUCACACAGGCAGAACUUUAUUUUCAGUUUAUUUCAAUAGUUUUUGCAAAACAAAAAUUGCCAUUGUAAAUGUAAAGGCAAAAAACAACAGUCCAGCCAGUCAGGAUCCCAAAUAGAAUGUCAAUAAUUCAGAUUUUUUUUAAAGCAAUAUUUGAACUGUUUUCCAGUCUAGACCAGUUAAGACCAGUAUGGACCAGUUGUGGUUUCAUUGCAGUGUGGUAUGAUGCAUGUCAUCGACUAGAGAUGCAUUCAACUCCGCUAACGAUUAUAAAGCUCCCAACUCUGAGCGCCCACCAACAAUCCAACUCACCAAGAAUGUUCGACAACAGGAGCAAACUCUUCUAUUCUAUUGAAAACACUUGAUUGUGUACUCUUUCUUCAACAAUGACGAAAGUUUUCUGCAAAUGUUUGCAGAGUUGAAUGCCAGUCUGGUUUGGUCCAGUCCAAUCUGUUUCUGGGCAUAAUGAUCCAGUAGAAUCCUGACCCACACUGAUGAUAUCAUGCAUCAUGAUGGAUAUUCAUUGGGGGCCUGGAUUGGUUGGUCAGAACAGGACAUUUCUUCUCAGGAGACUGGAAAGGGCCAUUGUAAUUUAGGCUUUAUUUAGCACAGAUUUUUUUAGGCCAUACUGCCCCGGAUUAGAUUAUCCCGUGUGUGUGGUAUGUGUUUUUCUGUUAUUCUAGAGUGAUUUGAGGUAUGAUUCCUAUGAGAAACAGGUUUACAGUCAUGUUUCAUGUUUGACAUCAUUGUUUCAGAAAAGUUAGGAUUUUUCUUGAGUUUGGAUUUUAGCAACUCAAUUGCUCAGUAAGCAAAAAUAUGAUCCAUGGAACAAUGGAAGUGUUGUAUUUUUAUCAUUAUAUAUUUUCAAUUGUUGUUGUAUGUUAAGUGCCUUAUCUGUAAUGUAUGGGAUAGCCUACCCUCUCACCUUUCUACCUUCUUCAGCUCCUCUCAUCCUCAUUCAUCCUUUCUCCCUCUUUCUUCUGCUUCUUAUUGUUCCCCACUCCUACUCAUCCAUCUCCUCCCUCAUUCUGAGAUCCUCCCCUCAGCCUUUCACAUCCCCACUCCAACCCUCGUUCAUUUGUACUAACCUUGACCAAUCUUCCUCUCUUCCCCCGUCGCUUUGGAAAAACAACAGUCACGUAAUUACAGUGUUAUUUUUAUGUGUGUAUUAUGAUGCUUAAGUAUUAUCAUUAAUAAUAAAAACAACGAUCAUGAAUAACUACGCCAAACCUGUCUACUCCAAUGUUUGUUUUACACACUCAAAUUAUGAAGUUCUCCUCACUGAUCGAUAAUGGGAGAGUAUCUACAG